rnacentral:rRNA from 1 species
GUYUGUUUGAAGUUAUAGAAAGUCUGACCUGCCCACUGAUUAUAAAUAUUUAAGGGCCGCGGUAUUAUGACCGUGCAAAGGUAGCAUAAUCAUUAGGUUUUUAAAUGGAAUCUUGUAUGAAUGGUUGGACAAAGGAAGAACUGUCUAAUUUUUAGAAAUUGAACUUUACUUUUAAGUGAGAAGGCUUAAAUGGUUUAGAGGGACGAUAAGACCCUAUAAAGCUUUACAUUGAAAUUAUAUUUAAUUAAAUUUUAGAUAAAAGUUUAAUAUAAUAAUUUGUUUUAUUGGGGAGAUAAAAGUAUAAAUUAUAUUAACUGCUUGGUAAAUAAACAUUUAUGAGUGAAAAAGUUAUAGAUCCUAUGAAUUUAUAGAAUGAAAGAUUAAGUUACUUUAGGGAUAACAGUGUUAUUUUUUUUGAGAGUUCAUAUCGAAAAAAGAGUUUGCAACCUCGAUGUUGAAUUAAGAUAUCUGUAUAAUGUAGCUGUUAUAUAAGAAGGUCKGUUCRACCUUU